rnacentral:misc_RNA from 1 species
GAUGAAGAACGCAGCGAAAUGCGAUACGUAAUGUGAAUUGCAGAAUUCAGUGAAUCAUCGAGUCUUUGAACGCACAUUGCGCCCCCUGGUAUUCCGGGGGGCAUGCCUGUUCGAGCGUCAUAUUAACCACUCCCGCUUGCGGGGUCUUGGGCUUCGCCUCCGGGCGGGCCUUAAAAUCAGUGGCGGUGCCGUCGGGCUCUACGCGUAGUAAAUUUUCUCGCGAUAGGGUCCCGGUGGAUGCUUGCCAACAACCCCCAACUUCUUAAGGUUGACCUCGGAUCAGGUAGGGAUACCCGCUGAACUUAAGCAUAUCAAUAAGCGGAGGA